CCAUGUAUCUGGAGAUGAAAUGUUCUACAGCAAGAAAAGGACGUGGGAAUCCAAUAAGAAUGACAUCCGCAUCUGUAGAAUGAAGGGCAAACACGAGGAUGAAGCAAACCACUGUGUAUGCCGAAGAUGCAGUAUCAACCCCCUCCUUUCCUGCAAUGUGUUUUUUACAGCAAAUUUACAGCUAGUUUUGUUUCAGAUUGGGAUAGCUUUUAUUAGCAGUCAGGCUGUUUUUGUUUUUAGGCAAACCUGGCAACCCUGGCUAGAGCUUGACUAGAGCUGGAGACCAUUUUUAAAAACUGAACUCGACACACUUAAAGUACACGUUUUUCCAUCGCUGACCACAGAAUCUAGUCUUUGAGAGAUGACUAACGGCUAAGUCAGUCCACUACACUCCAAUAUUUUUGAAAAUAGGCUCAUUUUUCAACUCAUCUGGAGUUAAACAGUCGGGUUUUACCAUUUUCAAAUCCAUUCAGCCGAUCUCCAGGUCUGGCGAUAGCACUUUUAGCUGCAGCUUAGCGUAGAUCAUCCAAUCACGCUCAAACAAAUGACCAAAGAUUUUCAAUGUUUUUCCUAUUUUAACUCUUAUGUAACGAUAUUCUGCAGUGCCUAAAAUAGCCCCGCGGCUUUAUCAGGCCCUGUGUAGUAUCGUUCGAAAACUGUAGAACUCAACUUAUUAACUCUGGGGGAGUUGAAAAAUUGUGUUAUUUUAAUGACCAGUGCAAGUCACGACUAGGCAACAAAAUAAAUCUCAUGAUAAUUUAACUACGUACCAAAACAAACAUGGACGUCAACAGACAGCUGGCUGGUUUUAUUUGCUGCGAGGUUUGUCCAGAAAAAGGAAAAAGUAAAAAAAAAUUCUGAUAAGAUGUUCUUCUUCGCACAGCUGCUUCCCUCAAAGACAACACUGCAGACAUCUGUGUUUUUAUUAAAUUACUAAAACGUUCAAGGUUUGUUUUUCUUAGUUCAGGCUUAGCAUGAUCUGUCCUCUUAUACUGGUGUUGGUAAUAAAUAUCACAGCAGCGUG